ACGACUGCUAAUACCGCAUAAGCGCACAGCUUCGCAUGAAGUAGUGUGAAAAGAUUUUUCGGUACAAGAUGGACCCGCGUCUGAUUAGCUAGUUGGUGAGGUAACGGCCCACCAAGGCGACGAUCAGUAGCCGACCUGAGAGGGUGACCGGCCACAUUGGGACUGAGACACGGCCCAAACUCCUACGGGAGGCAGCAGUGGGGAAUAUUGCACAAUGGGCGAAAGCCUGAUGCAGCGACGCCGCGUGAGCGAAGAAGUAUUUCGGUAUGUAAAGCUCUAUCAGCAGGGAAGAUAAUGACGUAC
rnacentral:rRNA from 1 species